rnacentral:misc_RNA from 1 species
GGUUAAUGGUUAAUUUAGCUUAUAACAGCUGUAUAAUGAUUCUUUUUAUUGGUUUUUUUUUUGGUUAAUUGUAAGUUUAUAUUCUAAUUGUAACAGUAUAAAAAAACUUAGAGUAAAGAACUUCAUGUAGUGUAAAUCCUUUUUAAAAAUUUUAUACUGACAACGGGCAAUUGCUAACAUGGAUCGGUAAAAAAAAAAAAUCAUAUAUUUUCUUGUCCAUGUGAUUUUCCAACUAUGUCAGAUUAUGUAUAUGGAUAUAGAAGGGAAGGGGAGGACCCCCGGGUAAAAUAUCUGCGCAAAUAAUGAUAAUUUAAUCGAUGACGUGUAUGCUAAAAUUUAAUGUGUUAAUUUAUGAUUUUUUAACGUUUGAAAACGCGUAUUUUCAAUCUAUCAUUGUUAACAUUGCAGACAUUCAAUAGGUGCAUGUAUACUGUUUUGAUUAUUUAUAUUAUUGUCGGUUUAAUGGUGUCAGUUGGGAUAAAUGCCAUACACGCGCCACGGCAUUUCAUGGAAGUUUUUUUCCUAAUAAUGGCUAUAGAAGCGGAAAUUUCCAGAUCUGGUCUCUUUCUGAAUAAAUUAUAGGUUUACGCAUUUAGUUUUUUCAAUCACUGACUCCCCUUCCAUACAGUCGACUCUUUUAUUACAGUGUUUGAAAUAAGCGUAAGAAAUUAUAUCUGUAGACAAGCAACUCUAGCUGUGAUUUUGAAUUUCAGGGUACUUUUGUACUACAUGUGUAUGUGUAGGGUUUUGUAUUGAGAUUUUUUUUAUUAUCUUGUUCAAUAAAUUCUCAGUAAACUUAUUUUGUACAUCACACAUUUUUUUUACACACGUAUGUCCUUUUAAGAUAAAUCACAAAUUUGUUUGUUCCACUUCUAAUUGAUUAUAAAUGUAUUGGCUCGUACAAGUGAUCUGUACAGAAAGCUUGUCUAUGAGAAAAUUAAAAUAUU